UUUCACCUUAUGCUUGUUUUACAUUUAUGCAUUUAGCAGCCACUUUUAUCCAAAGUGACUUACAGUGCAUUCAGGCUAACAUUUUUUGACCUAACAUGUGUUCCCUGGGAAUUGAACCCACAACCUUUUGCACUGCUAAUGCAAUGCUCUACCACUGAGCCACAGGAACACGCUCAUGCUUAUAUGUUCAGAGAUGAAUUGAUUUUAACAUGUAAUGAAGUGGGGGAAAAACCCAGGGAGGAAACGGGAGCUGUUUGCUGCUCUGCAUGAAGGUCAUGAAUGACAGUGGCAUCAUUGAGCUAUACAUAUGCAUAUUAACAUGUGAAUGAUCAUUUCAGGAGAGAAGAGCGCUGGUGCAGUGCUUUGUGAAGAAUGACAUUAAGGGCUUGAUUUAUUGUACGUGAACGAGCCUCACAGCAGCUGUUAGUCAAUGGAGAAUUCAUAAUGAUGCCCUGCACUUCAUCACUGCUUUAACUGAAUGAGAUGAUGGCUGGAACUAAAAAGAUCCGCUUUCUGUUUCAUCUAGAGAGCUGUACAUUGGCCAGUUGUGCAUGCUUUACAUGAUGGAGAGCUUCUUUAGACAUUCAUUUAAUUAUUUAUGAUUUGUGAUUUUUUUUUAUCAACAUGAAAUCAAAAUUGUUUAUCUGUAUUUAUUAAUGCAUGUGGCUUUUACAUGAUUUAUUGUUCCGAGUGAAAAAUGGGAAAGAAGUACGAGGUGAGCAAAAUCUUUACUCAUUUUGCGUGCUCCCUGAGAACAUCAUCCUCACAGCUGCUCUUUCAUCCCAGAUUCAUGUUUUUCCCUCUGCACUCGUUCUUCUUCAGGAACAGACAGAUGAUCAUGGAGGCCUCACUGUUCUGUCUUGGGAUCAGCACAGUGGUGUGUGUGAUUGAUACCCAGGGCAGAAUCCCAAGUGAGGCUUUCCUGGGUACCCAGUGUGUCCGCUCACUAGUGGAUUCAAAGUAGUCCAGACCCUCCGCUGACCUCCUUCAGCGAAGACAGCACUUGGACAACAGUCAUGGCCAGUGGAGGCGAUGGAGCUGGAAUCACAACUUUCUCUAUUAAAUGGUAAUUUCGAAACAAUAGGGAGGCAUCACUCUUUAACAUGGCUCAGAUGAUAGCAGCAUCUCCCCUGAUGGGCUGUUCUGUCCUUUUGCUGGAUAUAAUUCAAUGAUCUGAUCAGUACAAUAACAAUGGUGUACACUGUUAUUGCUGC
ensembl:lncRNA